UACGGAGGGUGCAAGCGUUGUCCGGAUUUAUUGGGUUUAAAGGGUGCGUAGGCGGCCCUGUAAGUCAGUGGUGAAAUACUGCAGCUUAACUGUAGCAUUGCCAUUGAUACUGUAGGGCUUGAGUACAGAUGAGGUAGGCGGAAUUGAUGGUGUAGCGGUGAAAUGCAUAGAUACCAUCAAGAACACCGAUUGCGAAGGCAGCUUACUAAGCUGUAACUGACGCUGAGGCACGAAAAGCGUGGGGGAUCGAACAGG
rnacentral:rRNA from 1 species